UACGUAGGGGCCAAGCGUUGUCCGGAUUUAUUGGGCGUAAAGAGCUCGUAGGCGGUUGGGUAAGUCGGGUGUGAAAACUCCAGGCUCAACUUGGAGAGGCCACCCGAUACUGCUCUGACUUGAGUUCGGUAUGGGAGUGGGGAAUUCCUGGUGUAGCGGUGAAAUGCGCAGAUAUCAGGAGGAACACCGGUGGCGAAGGCGCCACUCUGGGCCGAAACUGACGCUGAGGAGCGAAAGCGUGGGUAGCAAACAGG
rnacentral:rRNA from 1 species